UUCAUAGAUAUACCCAUUAGGCAUUGACGCUAUUAGAAAAUUUUGGCCAGGCAAGAUAUGCAACUGGGCAUCGAGUUCUAUGGGCUGACGACCUCUUUCUACAGACAUCCGUUUAAGGUCUGGAGAGAUCGGCACCACGUACUCUUCCUAGACUGUUUCUAGGAGGAAGGAUGAACGUGGCAUUCCUUCCGGCUGUUGGCGCUUGACUGAUGUCGCUAGUAUUGGAGGAACCGCAUUGUCAGGGUGAGAAAGAC